AAACAAAGCACACAGAGCAGACGAUCUCCUGCCCUCCAGCUCAGAGGCAGAUGCACCUGUCAGCCACCCGCCAUAUGGACUCCUGCAACAAGAAUGCAGUGUACGCAAAACAGAGAGCGGUCUGGCGCAGUCACCAUGGAGGCAGAUGGCCAGUAAAGGCGUUGCCUCGAGGCCAGAUGAGGUCGUCAUUUAGUGGAGUGGAGUGGAGUGGAGUGGAGCGCCAAAUCUGCUCAUCAGCCAGUGGACUGAGAUGGAUUUCCUCAGUGCUUGAAGCUAGAAAUGGCUGAACCGAGAGCAGGUGGUGGACCACGGGCCAAAUACCUAACUGCCCUGGAACUGUAAGGCAAGGGUUAAACACUGGGAUUUCCAUUUUCUAACCGGGAAAAAACUGGAAUAAGAAAUAAGAAUAAAUGUAUUUACCUGA